rnacentral:rRNA from 1 species
UGAACGCUGGCGGCGUGCCUAAUACAUGCAAGUCGAGCGAACAGACGAGGAGCUUGCUCCUCUGACGUUAGCGGCGGACGGGUGAGUAACACGUGGAUAACCUACCUAUAAGACUGGGAUAACUUCGGGAAACCGGAGCUAAUACCGGAUAAUAUAUUGAACCGCAUGGUUCAAUAGUGAAAGACGGUUUUGCUGUCACUUAUAGAUGGAUCCGCGCCGCAUUAGCUAGUUGGUAAGGUAACGGCUUACCAAGGCGACGAUGCGUAGCCGACCUGAGAGGGUGAUCGGCCACACUGGAACUGAGACACGGUCCAGACUCCUACGGAAGGCAGCAGUAGGGAAUCUUCCGCAAUGGGCGAAAGCUUGACGGAGCAACGCCGCGUGAGUGAUGAAGGUCUUCGGAUCGUAAAACUCUGUUAUUAGGGAAGAACAAAUGUGUAAGUAACUAUGCACGUCUUGACGGUACCUAAUCAGAAAGCCACGGCUAACUACGUG